rnacentral:rRNA from 1 species
AAUAGAUACCCAGGUAGUCCACGCCGUAAACGAUGUCGACUAGCCGUUGGGGACCUUCGUGUCCUUGGUGGCGUAGCUAACGCGCUAAGUCGACCGCCUGGGGGAGUACGGUCGCAAGAUUAAAAACUCAAAAUGAAAUUGACGGGGGGCCCCGGCACAAGCGGUGGAGCAUGUGGUUUAAUUCGACGCAACGCGAAGAACCUUACCAGGUCUUGACAUCCAGAGAACUUUCCAGAGAUGGAUUGGUGCCUUCGGGAACUCUGAGACAGGUGCUGCAUGGCUGUCGUCAGCUCGUGUCGUGAGAUGUUGGGUUAAGUCCCGUAACGAGCGCAACCCUUAUCCUUAUUUGCCAGCACGUCAUGGUGGGAACUUUAAGGAGACUGCCGGUGACAAACCGGAGGAAGGUGGGGAUGACGUCAAGUCAUCAUGGCCCCUUACGACCUGGGCUACACACGUGCUACAAUGGCGCGUACAGAGGGCUGCAACCUCGCGAGAGUGAGCUAAUCCAGAAAAACGCGUCGUAGUCCGGAUUGGAGU